rnacentral:tRNA from 1 species
GCGGGUAUAGGUGAAUUGGGUACACCAUCAAUUUUCCACAUUGGAAGUUACCGGUUCAAAUCCGGUUAUCCGCU